UGGGGAAUUUUGCACAAUGGGGGAAACCCUGAUGCAGCGACGCCGCGUGAUUUAGAAGGCCUUCGGGUUGUAAAAAUCUUUUUUAUGGGAUGAAAAUGACAGUACCAUACGAAUAAGGACCGGCUAAUUACGUGCCAGCAGCCGCGGUAAUACGUAAGGUCCGAGCGUUGUCCGGAAUCAUUGGGCGUAAAGGGUACGUAGGCGGAUAAGCAAGUUAGAAGUGAAAUCCUAUAGCUCAACUAUAGUAAGCUUUUAAAACUGCUCAUCUUGGGGUAUGGAAGGGAAAGUGGAAUUCCUAGUGUAGCGGUGAAAUGCGCAGAUAUUAGGAGGAAUACCGGUGGCGAAGGCGACUUUCUGGCCAUAUACUGACGCUGAGGUACGAAAGCGUGGGUAGCAAACAGG
rnacentral:rRNA from 1 species